rnacentral:rRNA from 1 species
AGCGUACACGGUGGAUGCCCUGGCAGUCAGAGGCGAUGAAGGGCGUGCUAAUCUGCGAUAAGCGCCGGUAAGGUGAUAUGAACCGUUAUAACCGGCGAUACCCGAAUGGGGAAACCCAGUGUGACUCGUCACACUAUCAUUAACUGAAUCCAUAGGUUAAUGAGGCGAACCGGGGGAACUGAAACAUCUAAGUACCCCGAGGAAAAGAAAUCAACCGAGAUUCCCCCAGUAGCGGCGAGCGAACGGGGAGGAGCCCAGAGCCUGAAUCAGCAUGUGUGUUAGUGGAAGCGUCUGGAAAGGCGCGCGAUACAGGGUGACAGCCCCGUACACAAAAGCGCAUGUGCUGUGAGCUCGAUGAGUAGGGCGGGACACGUGGUAUCCUGUCUGAAUAUGGGGGGACCAUCCUCCAAGGCUAAAUACUCCUGACUGACCGAUAGUGAACCAGUACCGUGAGGGAAAGGCGAAAAGAACCCCGGCGAGGGGAGUGAAAAAGAACCUGAAACCGUGUACGUACAAGCAGUGGGAGCCCCACCACCAAAGCAUUCUCUGGUGUUGAAGGCCCUGCAAAGCAGCAUCGCGGUGGCGGAGCGUCGUUUGCGACGCCCAACACACAAAACAAGCGGUGAGUGCUUUGGGGUGGGGUGACUGCGUACCUUUUGUAUAAUGGGUCAGCGACUUAUAUUCUGUAGCAAGGUUAACCGAAUAGGGGAGCCGGAGGGAAACCGAGUCUUAACCGGGCGUUAAGUUGCAGGGUAUAGACCCGAAACCCGGUGAUCUAGCCAUGGGCAGGUUGAAGGUUGGGUAACACUAACUGGAGGACCGAACCGACUAAUGUUGAAAAAUUAGCGGAUGACCUGUGGCUGGGGGUGAAAGGCCAAUCAAACCGGGAGAUAGCUGGUUCUCCCCGAAAGCUAUUUAGGUAGCGCCUCGUGAAUUCAUCUCCGGGGGUAGAGCACUGUUUCGGCUAGGGGGCCAUCCCGGCUUACCAACCCGAUGCAAACUGCGAAUACCGGAGAAUGUUAUCACGGGAGACACACGGCGGGUGCUAACGUCCGUCGUGAAGAGGGAAACAACCCAGACCGCCAGCUAAGGUCCCAAAGUCAUGGUUAAGUGGGAAACGAUGUGGGAAGGCCCAGACAGCCAGGAUGUUGGCUUAGAAGCAGCCAUCAUUUAAAGAAAGCGUAAUAGCUCACUGGUCGAGUCGGCCUGCGCGGAAGAUGUAACGGGGCUAAACCAUGCACCGAAGCUGCGGCAGCGAACGUAUCACUUAAAGCGAUUCAGCGGGUUACGAUUGACGGAGCGAAGCGACGUCAAAGCGUAUACAAAGUCGAGUCGGUUUAAGGAUACGUUCGUUGGGUAGGGGAGCGUUCUGUAAGCCUGUGAAGGUGUGUCGUGAGGCAUGCUGGAGGUAUCAGAAGUGCGAAUGCUGACAUAAGUAACGAUAAAGCGGGUGAAAAGCCCGCUCGCCGGAAGACCAAGGGUUCCUGUCCAACGUUAAUCGGGGCAGGGUGAGUCGACCCCUAAGGCGAGGCCGAAAGGCGUAGUCGAUGGGAAACGGGUUAAUAUUCCCGUACUUGGUGUUACUGCGAAGGGGGGACGGAGAAGGCUAUGUUGGCCGGGCGACGGUUGUCCCGGUUUAAGCGUGUAGGUGUGUGUUCCAGGUAAAUCCGGUUCACUUUAACACUGAGGCGUGAUGACGAGGCACUACGGUGCUGAAGCAACAAAUGCCCUGCUUCCAGGAAAAGCCUCUAAGCAUCAGGUAACAUCAAAUCGUACCCCAAACCGACACAGGUGGUCAGGUAGAGAAUACCAAGGCGCUUGAGAGAACUCGGGUGAAGGAACUAGGCAAAAUGGUGCCGUAACUUCGGGAGAAGGCACGCUGACACGUAGGUGAAGUGAUUUACUCAUGGAGCUGAAGUCAGUCGAAGAUACCAGCUGGCUGCAACUGUUUAUUAAAAACACAGCACUGUGCAAACACGAAAGUGGACGUAUACGGUGUGACGCCUGCCCGGUGCCGGAAGGUUAAUUGAUGGGGUCAGCGCAAGCGAAGCUCCUGAUCGAAGCCCCGGUAAACGGCGGCCGUAACUAUAACGGUCCUAAGGUAGCGAAAUUCCUUGUCGGGUAAGUUCCGACCUGCACGAAUGGCGUAAUGAUGGCCAGGCUGUCUCCACCCGAGACUCAGUGAAAUUGAACUCGCUGUGAAGAUGCAGUGUACCCGCGGCAAGACGGAAAGACCCCGUGAACCUUUACUAUAGCUUGACACUGAACAUUGAGCCUUGAUGUGUAGGAUAGGUGGGAGGCUUUGAAGCGUGGACGCCAGUCUGCGUGGAGCCGACCUUGAAAUACCACCCUUUAAUGUUUGAUGUUCUAACGUGGACCCGUAAUCCGGGUUGCGGACAGUGUCUGGUGGGUAGUUUGACUGGGGCGGUCUCCUCCUAAAGAGUAACGGAGGAGCACGAAGGUUGGCUAAUCCUGGUCGGACAUCAGGAGGUUAGUGCAAUGGCAUAAGCCAGCUUGACUGCGAGCGUGACGGCGCGAGCAGGUGCGAAAGCAGGUCAUAGUGAUCCGGUGGUUCUGAAUGGAAGGGCCAUCGCUCAACGGAUAAAAGGUACUCCGGGGAUAACAGGCUGAUACCGCCCAAGAGUUCAUAUCGACGGCGGUGUUUGGCACCUCGAUGUCGGCUCAUCACAUCCUGGGGCUGAAGUAGGUCCCAAGGGUAUGGCUGUUCGCCAUUUAAAGUGGUACGCGAGCUGGGUUUAGAACGUCGUGAGACAGUUCGGUCCCUAUCUGCCGUGGGCGCUGGAGAACUGAGGGGGGCUGCUCCUAGUACGAGAGGACCGGAGUGGACGCAUCACUGGUGUUCGGGUUGUCAUGCCAAUGGCACUGCCCGGUAGCUAAAUGCGGAAGAGAUAAGUGCUGAAAGCAUCUAAGCACGAAACUUGCCCCGAGAUGAGUUCU